rnacentral:rRNA from 1 species
GGCAGAUCCAUUUUCUGCCACCGAAUACAUUAGCAUGGGAUAAUGGAAUAGGACCCUGUCCUCCUAUUUUCAGUUGGUUUUGGCAGCGCGAGGACUAGGGUAAUGAUUAAUAGGGAUAGUUGGGGGCAUUAAUAUUUAAUUGUCAGAGGUGAAAUUCUUGGAUUUAUGAAAGAUUAACUUCUGCGAAAGCAUCUGCCAAGGAUGUUUUCAUUAAUCAAGAACGAAAGUUAGGGGAUCGAAGACGAUCAGAUACCGUCGUAGUCUUAACCAUAAACGAUGCCGACCAGCGAUUAGGAGACGUUGAAUACAAAACACCACCAUCGGUUGCGGUCAUCCUUGGCGUCUCGGUUUCGGCCGGGGCGCGGGGAUGGCUUAGCCCGGUGGCACCGGUGAAUGACUCCCCUAGCAGCUUGUGAGA